CAGCCGCCGCGGUAAUACGAAGGGGGCUAGCGUUGUUCGGAAUAACUGGGCGUAAAGGGCGCGUAGGCGGAUCUUUAAGUCAGGGGUGAAAUCCCAAGGCUCAACCUUGGAACUGCCUUUGAUACUGGAGAUCUUGAGUCCGGGAGAGGUGAGUGGAACUGCGAGUGUAGAGGUGAAAUUCGUAGAUAUUCGCAAGAACACCAGUGGCGAAGGCGGCUCACUGGCCCGGUACUGACGCUGAGGCGCGAAAGCGUGGGGAGCAAACAGGAUUAGAUACCCGCGUAGUCCCUGUCUCUUAUAC
rnacentral:rRNA from 1 species